GCCUCCUUAGCUCAGUUGGUAGAGCAGUGGACUCUUAAUCCAUGGGUCGAAGGUUCGAGUCCUUCAGGGGGCA
rnacentral:tRNA from 1 species